rnacentral:lncRNA from 1 species
AUGGAUCCAGCUGAGCUAAAAAAGGAAAAAAAAUAAACGAGAAGAAUUUUAUCAUAUUUCUACUUUUGUUAGAAAGCUGGACGUAUCCAAUAACAGGGGAAACUACAAAAAGUAGCUAAAAGCCCACCCAUGCCCACAUGGUGGGCAAGCCUUUUAGCUGGGUACAGGCAUGCAUGCAUCCAUCCUUUGGAGCAACUACCAUGAUAGCAGUACUGAUUCUUUAAUUCAGAGGAACAUGCCAUGCCACCCU